UGGGGAAUUUUGCGCAAUGGGGGAAACCCUGACGCAGCUACGCCGCGUGAGUGAUGAGGGCCUUCGGGUCGUAAAGCUCUGUCAGAGGGGAAGAAAUGCAGAAAUGCUAAUAUCAUCUUUACUUAACAAUACCCUCAAAAAAAGCACCAACUAACUCCGUGCCAGCAGCCGCGGUAAUACGGAGGGUGCGAGCGUUGUUCGGAAUUAUUGGGCGUAAAGCGCGUGUAGGCGGUUUGGUAAGUCUGAUGUGAAAGCCCCGGGCUCAACCUGGGAAGUGCAUUGGAAACUGUCAGACUUGAAUACGGGAGAGGGUAGUGGAAUUCCUAGUGUAGGAGUGAAAUCCGUAGAUAUUAGGAGGAACACCGGUGGCGAAGGCGGCUACCUGGACCGAUAUUGACGCUGAGACGCGAAAGCGUGGGGAGCAAACAG
rnacentral:rRNA from 1 species